UACAGGGGUCCCAAGCGUUGUUCGGAUUCAUUGGGCGUAAAGGGAGCGUAGGUGGUCGGGUAAGUCAGAUGUCAAAUUUCGACGCUCAACGUCGAAUCGCAUUUGAUACUGCCUGGCUAGAGGAAUUGAGAGGAGGCCGGAAUUCACGGUGUAGCAGUGAAAUGCGUAGAUAUCGUGAGGAAGACCAACGGCGAAAGCAGGCCUCUGGAAAUUUCCUGACACUGAGGCUCGAAGGCCAGGGGAGCAAACGGG
rnacentral:rRNA from 1 species